AUCAGAUACCGCCCUAGUUCUGACCGUAAACGAUGCCAACUAGCGAUCUGCCAGUCGACUCAUCGCUCUGGUGGGGAGCUUCCCGGAAACGAAAGUCUUCCGGUUCCGGGGGAAGUAUGGUUGCAAAGCUGAAACUUAAAGGAAUUGACGGAAGGGCACCACCAGGAGUGGAGCCUGCGGCUUAAUUUGACUCAACACGGGGAAACUCACCCGGCCCGGACACCGUAAGGAUUGACAGAUUGAUAGCUUUUUCAUGAUUCGGUGGAUGGUGGUGCAUGGCCGUUCUUAGUUCGUGGAGCGAUUUGUCUGGUUUAUUCCGAUAACGAGCGAGACUCUGGCCUACUAAAUAGUUGACGUAUUGCCACUGUGCGCACAACUUCUUAGAGGGAUUUUCGGUGUUUUCAACCGCACGAAAUUGAGCAAUAACAGGUCUGUGAUGCCCUUAGAUGUCCGGGGCUGCACGCGCGCUACACUGGCAAACGCAACGUGCCUGUCCUGCCCCGAAAGGAGCGGGUAAACCCCUGAAAUUUUGCCGUGAKUGGGAUCGGACAUUGCAACUAUUGUCCGUGAACGAGGAUWSSUUGUAGGGGCGAGUCAUCAACUCGUCCCGAAUACGUCCCUGCCCUUGUA
rnacentral:rRNA from 1 species